ACCCCCACCAACUAGCCCAAAACAAAAUACAACAAACAACAUUAAUUAACCCCAAAAACCAAACGCACACAAAUCAAACCAUUUUACCCCCUCAGUAUGGGAGACAGAACAGGGGCACAGACGCAAUAGAAAAAGUACCGCAAGGGAAAGUUGAAAGAGAAAUGAAACAAACCAGUAAAGGGCAAAAAAGCAGAGACUAAACCUCGUACCUUUUGCAUCAUGAAUUAGCUAGUAACCCUCAAGCAAAGAGACCUUAAGUUCUGAGCCCCCGAAACUAAGUGAGCUACUCCAAGACAGCCUAAACUAAAGGGCGCACCCUUCUCUGUGGCAAAAGAGUGGGAAGAUCUUCGAGUAGAGGCAAUAAACCUACCGAACUUAGUUAUAGCUGGUUGCCUACAAAAUGAAUAGAAGUUCAGCCUUUAAACUAUGCCUCCCCCCAAACUUGGACACCCUCCUAAUGACUUCGAGGCCUAAAAAGAGUUAUUCAGUAGGGGUACAGCCCUCCUGAAAAAAGAAACAACUUUUUUAACAGGUUAAAAAUCACAAAACAUCAAGGCAGACACCUCCGUGGGCCUAAAAGCAGCCACCCCUAAAGAAAGCGUUAAAGCUCAAGUUACCCCCCCCGCCUCCAAUUUCAAUAAAAUCAUUUUAAACCCCUAUAAAAUAGUAGGCCCUACUAUGCCCCCAUAGUAAAGAUACUGCUAACAUGAGUAAUAAGAAGACACGCCCUUCUCCUAAACACCUCUUUACAUCAGAACGAACCCCCACCGAAAAUUAACGCCCCCGGCCAAAGAGGGCCCUGAGGAAGCCAACAAUACCACAAGAAACCCCCUCAACUAUCACAACGUUAACCCUACACAGGAGUGUUUAAGGAAAGACUAAAAGAAAAAGAAGGAACUCGGCAAACACCAGCCUCGCCUGUUUACCAAAAACAUCGCCUCUUGCACCCCCCAUAUAAGAGGUCCCGCCUGCCCAGUGACUUAUAAAGUUAAACGGCCGCGGUAUUCUGACCGUGCGAAGGUAGCGCAAUCACUUGUCUUUUAAAUGAAGACCCGUAUGAAUGGCACAACGAGGGCUAAGCUGUCUCCUUUUUCCAGCCAAUGAAAUUGAUCCCCCCGUGCAGAAGCGGGGGUAAAACCAUAAGACGAGAAGACCCUAUGAAGCUUUAGACAAAAGGCAGCCCACUUAAAAACUAAAACUUAAUAUACAGUUAAUAACAGGGGCCCUCUGCCCUCCUGUCUUCGGUUGGGGCGACCACGGGGCAACAAAAAUCCCCCACGGGGAAUGAAAACUCCCUUCCUAAAACAAGAGCCACAGCUCUAAAAAACAGAACAUCUGACCCACAAGACCCGGCAUAUCGCCGAUCAACGGAACCAGUUACUCUAGGGAUAACAGCGCAAUCCCCUUCUAGAGCCCAUAUCGACAAGGGGGUUUACGACCUCGAUGUUGGAUCAGGAUAUCCUAAUGGUGCAGCCGCUAUUAAGGGUUC
rnacentral:rRNA from 1 species